rnacentral:rRNA from 1 species
GACGAACGCUGGCGGCGUGCCUAAUACAUGCAAGUCGAACGCUUCUUUCCUCCCGAGUGCUUGCUCUCGAUUGGAACGGGGGGGGGCGUAAGGGGGGGUAAAACGUCGGUAACCUCCCCGUCAACGUGGGGUAACACUUGGUAACAGCUGCUAAUACAGCGUAACAGAUUAUGCCGUAUGGCAUAAGAGUGUUGGGCGCUCUCGUAUAUCGCUGCUCGAUGGACCCGCGACGCAUUAGCUAGUUGGUGAGGUAACGGCUCACCAAGGCAACGAUGCAUAGCCGACCUGAGAGGGUGAUCGGCCACACUGGAACUGAGACACGGCCCAGACUCCUACGGGAGGCAGCAGUAGGGAAUCUUCCGCAAUGGACGAAAGUUUGACGGAGCAACGCCGCGUGAGUGAAGAAGGUCUUCGGAUCGUAAAACUCUGUUGUUAGGGAAGAACAAAGGCGUAAGUAACUGAGCGCGUCUUGACGGUACCUAAUCAGAAAGCCACGGCUAACUACGUG